rnacentral:rRNA from 1 species
AUUGAACGCUGGCGGCAGGCCUAACACAUGCAAGUCGAGCGGAUGAAGGGAGCUUGCUCCUGGAUUCAGCGGCGGACGGGUGAGUAAUGCCUAGGAAUCUGCCUGGUAGUGGGGGAUAACGUCCGGAAACGGGCGCUAAUACCGCAUACGUCCUGAGGGAGAAAGUGGGGGAUCUUCGGACCUCACGCUAUCAGAUGAGCCUAGGUCGGAUUAGCUAGUUGGUGGGGUAAAGGCCUACCAAGGCGACGAUCCGUAACUGGUCUGAGAGGAUGAUCAGUCACACUGGAACUGAGACACGGUCCAGACUCUUACGGGAGGCAGCAGUGGGGAAUAGUGGACAAUGGGCGAAAGCCUGAUCCAGCCAUGCCGCGUGUGUGAAGAAGGUCUUCGGAUUGUAAAGCACUUUAAGUUGGGAAGAAGGGAAGUAAGUUAAUACCUUGCUGUUUUGACGUUACCAACAGAAUAAGCACCGGCUAACUUCGUG